UUCGGACGGGUGAGUAACGCGUGAGAAUCUGCCUCCAAGACGGGGACAACAGUUGGAAACGGCUGCUAAUCCCGGAUAAGCCGAAAGGUGAAAGAUUUAUCGCUUGGAGAGGAGCUCGCGUCCGAUUAGCUAGUUGGUGAGAUAAAAGCGCACCAAGGCAACGAUCGGUAGCUGGUCUGAGAGGACGAUCAGCCACACUGGGACUGAGACACGGCCCAGACUCCUACGGGAGGCAGCAGUGGGGAAUUUUCCGCAAUGGGCGCAAGCCUGACGGAGCAAGACCGCGUGAGGGAAGAAGGCUUUUGGGUCGUAAACCUCUUUUCUCAAGGAAGAAGAAAGUGACAGUACUUGAGGAAUAAGCAUCGGCUAACUCCGUGCCAGCAGCCGCGGUAAUACGGAGGAUGCAAGCGUUACCCGGAAUUAUUGGGCGUAAAGCGUCCGCAGGUGGCUAUACAAGUCUGCUGUCAAAGACUGAAGCUCAACUUCGGAAAGGCAGUGGAAACUGUAGAGCUGGAGUUCGGUAGGGGUAGAGGGAAUUCCCAGUGUAGCGGUGAAAUGCGUAGAGAUUGGGAAGAACACCGGUGGCGAAAGCGCUCUACUGGCCGA
rnacentral:rRNA from 1 species